UACGAAGGGUGCAAGCGUUGCUCGGAAUCACUGGGCGUAAAGGGUGCGUAGGCGGGUUUUUAAGUCAGGGGUGAAAUCCUGGAGCUCAACUCCAGAACUGCCUUUGAUACUGAAGAUCUUGAGUUCGGGAGAGGUGAGUGGAACUGCGAGUGUAGAGGUGAAAUUCGUAGAUAUUCGCAAGAACACCAGUGGCGAAGGCGGCUCACUGGCCCGAUACUGACGCUGAGGCACGAAAGCGCGGGGAGCAAACAGGG
rnacentral:rRNA from 1 species